GCUAAUACAUGCAAGUCGAGCGAAUGGAUUAAGAGCUUGCUCUUAUGAAGUUAGCGGCGGACGGGUGAGUAACACGUGGGUAACCUGCCCAUAAGACUGGGAUAACUCCGGGAAACCGGGGCUAAUACCGGAUAACAUUUUGAACCGCAUGGUUCGAAAUUGAAAGGCGGCUUCGGCUGUCACUUAUGGAUGGACCCGCGUCGCAUUAGCUAGUUGGUGAGGUAACGGCUCACCAAGGCAACGAUGCGUAGCCGACCUGAGAGGGUGAUCGGCCACACUGGGACUGAGACACGGCCCAGACUCCUACGGGAGGCAGCAGUAGGGAAUCUUCCGCAAUGGACGAAAGUCUGACGGAGCAACGCCGCGUGAGUGAUGAAGGCUUUCGGGUCGUAAAACUCUGUUGUUAGGGAAGAACAAGUGCUAGUUGAAUAAGCUGGCACCUUGACGGUACCUAACCAGAAAGCCACGGCUAACUACGUGCCAGCAGCCGCGGUAAUACGUAGGUGGCAAGCGUUAUCCGGAAUUAUUGGGCGUAAAGCGCGCGCAGGUGGUUUCUUAAGUCUGAUGUGAAAGCCCACGGCUCAACCGUGGAGGGUCAUUGGAAACUGGGAGACUUGAGUGCAGAAGAGGAAAGUGGAAUUCCAUGUGUAGCGGUGAAAUGCGUAGAGAUAUGGAGGAACACCAGUGGCGAAGGCGACUUUCUGGUCUGUAACUGACACUGAGGCGC
rnacentral:rRNA from 1 species